UGAAACCGUUUAGGGGUAAACCUGAGAAACCCGAAAGGUCGAAGGGAGAAAUUCAUUCGCGUCUCGAUGUCGGCGUCAGACGAUCGAGUGACGAAAAGCGUUCGCGUUUUUUGCGCCGAUCGUUUGUCGAACUGGCUACGUACGCGUGCACUUUUCUCCUGGUAGGACGUCGCGAUCCGUUGGGUGUCUGUCUACGGCUCGCGGUGGUGUCCGUCCGUCGCCUCGGCGUCGGACGAACCCGCGAUGACCCGGCCGACUUGCUCGACGGUAUACGAACGGUCGGAGGCCGCUCUCAGAGCGUUCGACUCGUUGCAAGCGCGCCAGUCGCGUUGGAACGCGGACCUAGUGCCGCGCCCGACCGCUGGUGACUGUUGGCCACGAAGUUCUCGAACAGACCUCUAUACAACAAUUAAGACCGAUCUGCGACGCUAUAGGUUUGGGUACUUUCAGGACCCGUCUUGAAACACGGACCAAGGAGUCUAGCAUGUGCGCGAGUCAUUGGGAAUCGUUAAACCUAAAGGCGCAAUGAAAGUAAAUGUCUUCCUCGCGAGGACAUAGGGAAGACGGGCGGUUUUAAAAAGGCCGCUCAGCAUUCCCGGGGCGUCUCGUUCUCAUCGCGAGAAGAGGCGCACCAAGAGCGUACACGCUGGGACCCGAAAGAUGGUGAACUAUGCCUGGUCAGGACGAA
rnacentral:rRNA from 1 species